UACAGAGGUCGCAAGCGUUGUUCGGAUUCAUUGGGCGUAAAGGGCGCGUAGGCGGCGUGGUAAGUCGGGUGUGAAAUCUUGGAGCUUAACUCCGAAACUGCAUUCGAUACUGCCGUGCUUGAGGACUGGAGAGGAGACUGGAAUUUACGGUGUAGCGGUGAAAUGCGUAGAUAUCGGAAGGAAGACCAGUGGCGAAGGCGGGUCUCUGGACAGUUCCUGACGCUGAGACGCGAAGGCCAGGGGAGCAAACGGG
rnacentral:rRNA from 1 species